UACAGAGGUCUCAAGCGUUGUUCGGAUUCAUUGGGCGUAAAGGGUGCGUAGGCGGCGCGGUAAGUGGGGUGUGAAAUUUCGGAGCUUAACUCCGAAACUGCAUUCCAUACUGCGGUGCUUGAGGACUGGAGAGGAGACUGGAACUUACGGUGUAGCAGUGAAAUGCGUAGAGAUCGUAAGGAAGACCAGUGGCGAAGGCGGGUCUCUGGACAGUUCCUGACGCUGAGGCACGAAGGCCAGGGGAGCAAACGGG
rnacentral:rRNA from 1 species